rnacentral:ncRNA from 1 species
GUUUAAACGUUGAAUGGGAAGAGUACAAUUGCCAUCUCCUUACAGAGAGAGAAAUCAUAUGCUGAAAGAUUUCUUAUGUUGAUGCAUUGGAAGGUCGCCCAGGAGUUGCUUCUUUGAAUACAGUAGGAGAAGCCGGUGCAAACCGUUAUCAUUUUAAGUGCAUAGACUAUUUCUAUAGUUUGUGAAAAAAGGUGGUACCGCGAAAUUAUUCUCCUUUCGUCCUUUUA